rnacentral:siRNA from 1 species
GGUGGACCCAGUGGUGGUGAU